AAGAGAGAAGACAGACAUAAAACACUGAGCGCAUACAUAUACACACACACACACACAUACACACACAGUUAUUAUAUGCAAGGGAUUUUUUUUUUUUUUUUUUUUUUCAACAAAGGAGGCAGCUCAAGGGCACACAAAAAAAGAGAACAAUAAUAAAAAAAAGCCCACUAAGUUAAAUAAUGACAGAUAUAUGAACCAGUUAGUUAGUUGGUGAUUAGGUGGGUUUUGUAAGCACUGUGUAAAACAAAGAAAAGACAAACAUAAAACACACACACAAACACACACACACACACAGCUAGUUAUCAUGUGUUAGAGAAAUGUUUCAGCUCCUAAUAAUAGAAUGGGGUGAUUGAACCAGGGAGAUAAUUAAGAGGUAGGUGGAUUUUUGUUUAUAUUCUAUGAGCUAAAUAAAGAAAAACACAGCAAUUUUUUUUUUUUUUUUUUUACAGCUAAGGAGACCGUUCAGGGGCGCAAAGAAAAAUAUUAAAAAAAGCCCGCUACUCACUGCUCCUGAAUAGAGGUCAAAGGAGUGCCCAAAAAGAGAGGUCAUUUUCGGGAGGAGAGGAUACACAGAAACACACAGAAUUAGAUACUAUAUGCAUGGAAAAUGUUUCAAUCUACUCAUCGCAAAGUUAGAUAAAGCCUAAUUGAUGUACCAACCAGUGAGUUAGUUGGGUAGGCAGGCUUUGUAAAUAGUGGAGAAAGUUUAGUGGAGUCUGGCCAAGGAGGGAAAUGGAGGGAGACAGACAGACAUCACAAAGCUAAAAGGAAUAUUUCACCUCCAUUAUAAUCUAUUUCCCUUCACUUUGUACUAAAAAAAAAAAAAUAAAUAAAUAAAUAAAUAAAAAUAAAAACUAACAUGGGAAACGUCACACCAAGUAGGCGGUUAGCAAACUUGCACACACCUCCGGCAACACUUCAACCCUGCCUCGGUCUCCCCUAUCAAGCAUGUGUUCUCCUAUGGCAUCAUCAGCUUGCCAUCAACACCCAGGAGAGGGAGUGUUAGUGCGGCAUCAAGCAGGCGGUUAACACACUUGUACACACUUCCAGCUAAAACUUCAACCCUGUCUCGGUCUCCCCUAUCAAGCAUGUGUUCUCCUAUGCCAUCAUCAGCUUGCCGUCAACACCCAGGAGAGGGAGUGUUAGUGCCGCAUCAAGCAGGCGGUUAGCACACGGACACACUCUCGACCCACUCCGCAACACUGUUCUGAUCUCUUCUCUAAAGCUGUUGUUGUUUUCUAUGAUGCAAUGCUGUUUUGAUCUCUCCUAUCAAGCUGUUGUUUUGAUUUCUCAUAUGUGGCUGUUGUUGUUUUCUUAUGAUGCAAUGCUGUUUUGAUAUCUUCUAUUCAGCUGUUGCUUUGAUGUCUUGUAUGUAGCUGUUGUUGUUUUUCAGUAAUACAAUACUGUUUUGAUCUCUCCUAUUAAGCUGUUGUUUUGAUGUCUUGUAUGUAGCUCUUGCAGUAUUCCUAUGAUGCAACACUGUUUUGAUCUCUUCUAUUAAGGUGUAGUUGUGCUAUGAUGCUAGAGGUAUGAUGCAAUACACCUACAUCGAUAUACAUUGCUGUGUGUUUCCUUUCCAUUUCUCAUCCACAUUGCUUUCUUUUCAUCUUUUGGUUCGUGUAAAGCAGAAGCACACUUUCAAACCACACUGUGCCAACAUCAGAACUAAAUCAAACUGCAGAGUGAAUCUUAAAGUGAGUGAAACAAACCCUUGAACUGUUAGAGAAAAUGGCUGGGCUGUCAGGUUAGCAAAGCAGAUGAAAAACGGGUGUCAAGUGCACAUGUGAAGUGCUUGAAAUAUGAAUAAAUAAAUAAAUAAAUAACAGGGAACAACAACAUUUCAUGACCCCACUAAAAGAAACAAUGCAGACCCUGACACACAUAACACAUCCUGACACUGAACUCCAUCUCAAAUUACUAAUCCUUAACCCGGUAGCUGCGGGGAUCAUGUUUCUUAAAGGCCCCUCUAAGCGGAUUAAUGAGAAAAAAUCAUCGCUCUUGCAAACCACCUCAUAAUAUAUAUCAAUGCAUUUGUGAUCAGUUUAUGUAUCAUCUAUUUUUGGGGGGUUUAUAUCAUGGCAAAAAUGUGGCCCGUCGCUGUUACACGGUUAAGCCACAAAUUUGGCCCGUCGCUGCUACCGGGUUAACUUGAAUAAAAUACUAGGGUUGAGGGACAGGAGAAGGACUUAUAGCUGAGACCUCAUCUCAAAGUAAUCCUUAAAGCAUAUAAAUAGUCAGAGCACGGCACAAUAGAGAAGGUGAGAAGGACUUACGACUGAGCUUAUAAUAAAACAAAAGAGGAGAGAAGGACUUACAACUGGGCUUAGGUAGUGAAUAAAAUAAUAAGGAGUAGAGGAACAAGGAAAGGAGGACUGAAGUAUAGAGUGUAGAGACAAGAGGAGAACUUACAAUUGGGCUUAAAAUAAAACAACAGAAUAGAGUAGCGUGACAAUAGAGAGAGAACUUACAACUGGGCUCAAAGUGAAUGAAAUAAUAGAGUAGAGCGACUAGACAAAGAGAGUUAGACUUAAGUAUAGAGUAGAAAAACAAGACAAGAAUAAUGAAG